rnacentral:rRNA from 1 species
AUUGAACGCUGGCGGCAUGCUUUACACAUGCAAGUCGGACGGCAGCACAGAGAAGCUUGCUUCUUGGGUGGCGAGUGGCGAACGGGUGAGUAACAUAUCGGAACGUACCGAGCAGUGGGGGAUAACUAAUCGAAAGAUUAGCUAAUACCGCAUAUCUUCUGAGGAAGAAAGCAGGGGACCAUUUGGCCUUGCGCUGUUUGAGCGGCCGAUAUCUGAUUAGCUAGUUGGUGGGGUAAAGGCCUACCAAGGCGACGAUCAGUAGCGGGUCUGAGAGGAUGAUCCGCCACACUGGGACUGGGACACGGCCCAGACUCCUACGGGAGGCAGCAGUGGGGAAUUUUGGACAAUGGGCGAAAGCCUGAUCCAGCCAUGCCGCGUGUCUGAAGAAGGCCUUCGGGUUGUAAAGGACUUUUGUCAGGGAAGAAAAGGGCGGGGUUAAUACCCCUGUCUGAUGACGGUACCUGAAGAAUAAGCACCGGCUAACUACGUGCCAGCAGCCGCGGUAAUACGUAGGGUGCGAGCGUUAAUCGGAAUUACUGGGCGUAAAGCGGGCGCAGACGGUUACUUAAGCAGGAUGUGAAAUCCCCGGGCUCAACCUGGGAACUGCGUUCUGAACUGGGUGACUAGAGUGUGUCAGAGGGAGGUAGAAUUCCACGUGUAGCAGUGAAAUGCGUAGAGAUGUGGAGGAAUACCGAUGGCGAAGGCAGCCUCCUGGGAUAACACUGACGUUCAUGCCCGAAAGCGUGGGUAGCAAACAGG